AUGUAUUUCAAACACGUACAACAAUUCAAUCAAUUUUAAGAGCGACCAAAAAUAUGAAUAAAAAAACCGCAAAGAUAAUGAUCGGACGUGAAAGGCAUACCAACGAUGACGAAUUUUGAGUGGAGCACUUGGAUGGCAGAAUAAAACAAUAGUUUUACAAUGAGAUGAGUUAUGGUUUAUGUGAAUGUGUUUUGUUCAUUACCGCUUUUUCAAGUAGACUAGAGCUCUCAAAGAGUGCUCUAAAGUCUGAAGUUAAGAGUUUCAUAUACCUCAUCUCCUUAAAAGAUUGACAAUUCGAGAAGGAAAACAUAGUAAAAUAUUUGGUUAAUCCAGUUCCGAUCAAUUCUAUCGAAUUACAGUCUGGACAGUGACCCACUAGUAACCAACUCAACACCUACCGUACAGCAGAACAGUACCCACUUGAUCCUAAUUUUAAUUUAAAAUUUCGAAGCAGAAUAAAAUACGGAACAUAACCAUUUAUAAAAAUCAAAUUCCGAAUUAGCAGUUUCUUAGUUAAAAGUAUUUAAGGAGUCGACUGGUGGAGUGUUAGUAGUUUUAGUUUUAGUAAUGGACUAAAAUUUUACGGAGAACCGUUGAAUCAAUCUAUUUUGCUUAUUUAAACUUUAAAUAGUUAUAGUUAGAAAGUUAUAAACCAUUAAGUAAUUGUCCAAAAUUCGAUUUUUAUCUACUAAAAAACUCU